rnacentral:rRNA from 1 species
UACGUAGGGUCCGAGCGUUAAUCGGAAUUACUGGGCGUAAAGCGUGCGCAGGCGGUAAUGUAAGACAGAUGUGAAAUCCCCGGGCUCAACCUGGGACCUGCAUUUGUGACUGCAUCGCUAGAGUACGGCAGAGGGGGAUGGAAUUCCGCGUGUAGCAGUGAAAUGCGUAGAUAUGCGGAGGAACACCGAUGGCGAAGGCAAUCCCCUGGGCCUGUACUGACGCUCAUGCACGAAAGCGUGGGGAGCAAACAGG